UACGUAGGGACCGAGCGUUGUCCGGAUUCAUUGGGCGUAAAGAGCUCGUAGGCGGCUGUUCAAGUCGAACGUGAAAACUCGGGGCUCAACUCCGAGCUUGCAGUCGAUACGGGCAGGCUAGAGUUCGGUAGGGGAGACUGGAAUUCCUGGUGUAGCGGUGAAAUGCGCAGAUAUCAGGAGGAACACCGGUGGCGAAGGCGGGUCUCUGGGCCGAUACUGACGCUGAGGAGCGAAAGCGUGGGGAGCGAACAGG
rnacentral:rRNA from 1 species